AGGAUGGCCUAGAGAUGGAGAAAUG
rnacentral:piRNA from 1 species